AUUGAACGCUGGCGGCAUGCCUUACACAUGCAAGUCGGACGGUAACAGGUCUUCGGAUGCUGACGAGUGGCGAACGGGUGAGUAAUACAUCGGAACGUGCCCGAGAGUGGGGGAUAACGCAGCGAAAGUUGUGCUAAUACCGCAUACGUACUGAGGUAGAAAGUGGGGGACCUUCGGGCCUCACGCUAUUCGAGCGGCCGACGUCUGAUUAGCUAGUAGGUGAGGUAAGAGCUCACCUAGGCGACGAUCAGUAGCGGGUCUGAGAGGAUGAUCCGCCACACUGGGACUGAGACACGGCCCAGACUCCUACGGGAGGCAGCAGUGGGGAAUUUUGGACAAUGGGCGCAAGCCUGAUCCAGCCAUGCCGCGUGUCUGAAGAAGGCCUUCGGGUUGUAAAGGACUUUUGUCAGGGAGGAAAUCCUAGUGGCUAAUAACUGCUGGGGAUGACAGUACCUGAAGAAUAAGCACCGGCUAACUACGUGCCAGCCGCCGCCGUAAGAC
rnacentral:rRNA from 1 species